CCUGCCUCCAGGUAAGACUGACCAACAACCAGCUGAAAUACCUGCCUCCAGGUAAGACUGGCCAACAACCAGCUGAAAUACCUGCCUCCAGGUAAGACUGACCAACAACCAGCUGAAAUACCUGCCUCCAGGUAAGACUGGCCCACAACCAGCUGAAAUACCUGCCUCCAGGUAAGACUGGCCAACAACCAGCUGAAAUACCUGCCUCCAGGUAAGACUGACCAACAACCAGCUGAAAUACCUGCCUCCAGGUAAGACUGGCCAACAACCAGCUGAAAUACCUGCCUCCAGGUAAGACUGACCAACAACCAGCUGAAAUACCUGCCUCCAGGUAAGACUGGCCAACAACCAGCUGAAAUACCUGCCUCCAGGUAAGACUGACCAACAACCAGCUGAAAUACCUGCCUCCAGGUAAGACUGGCCCACAACCAGC